CCUACGGGUGGCAGCAGUGGGGAAUAUUGCACAAUGGGGGAAACCCUGAUGCAGCGACGCCGCGUGAGUGAGGAAGUAUUUCGGUAUGUAAAGCUCUAUCAGCAGGGAAGAAAAUGACGGUACCUGACUACGAAGCACCGGCUAACUACGUGCCAGCAGCCGCGGCAAUACGUAGGCGGCAACGGUUAUCCGGAUUUAUUGGGUUUAAGGGGUGCGCAGGCGGAAGAUAAAGUCAGCGGUAAAAUUGAGAGGCUCAACCUCUUCGCGCCGUUGAAACUGGUUUGCUUGAGUGAGCGAGAAGUAUGCGGAAUGCGUGGUGUAGCGGUGAAAUGCAUAGAUAUCACGCAGAACUCCGAUUGCGAAGGCAGCAUACCGGCGCUCAACUGACGCUCAUGCACGAAAGUGUGGGUAUCGAACAGGAUUAGAUACCCCUGUAGUC
rnacentral:rRNA from 1 species